UACGUAGGGUGCAAGCGUUGUCCGGAAUUAUUGGGCGUAAAGAGCUCGUAGGCGGUUUGUCGCGUCUGCUGUGAAAACGCGAGGCUCAACCUCGCGCCUGCAGUGGGUACGGGCAGACUAGAAUUCGGGCAGGGGAGACUGGAAUUCCUGGUGUAGCGGUGAAAUGCGCAGAUAUCAGGAGGAACACCGAUGGCGAAGGCAGUGGUCUGGGCCGAUACUGACGCUGAGGAGCGAAAGCAUGGGGAGCGAACAGG
rnacentral:rRNA from 1 species